rnacentral:tRNA from 1 species
GUAGGUAUAGUUUAAACAAAAACAUCAGGUUGUGAUCCUGAAAAUAGAAGUUAAAUUCUUCUUACCCACC